rnacentral:rRNA from 1 species
AGGACGAACGCUGGCGGCGCGCUUAAUACAUGCAAGUCGAGCGAGAACCAGGGCUUCGGCUCUGGGGACAGCGGCGAACGGGUGAGUAACACGUGGGUAAUCAACCCCCGACACCGGGAUAGCCCAGGGAAACUUGGAUUAAUACCGGAUGCUCCGUCUGGCUUUAGGGCCGGCCGGAAAAGGGUAGCUUCGGCCUCCGGUCGGGGACGAGCCCGCGGCGGAUUAGCUUGUUGGUGAGGUAAAGGCUCACCAAGGCGACAAUCCGUAGCUGGUCUGAGAGGACGAUCAGCCACACUGGGACUGAGACACGGCCCAGACUCCUACGGGAGGCAGCAGUAGGGAAUCUUGCGCAAUGGGCGAAAGCCUGACGCAGCGACGCCGCGUGAGGGAAGAAGGCCUUCGGGUUGUAAACCUCUUUCAGGAGGGACGAAGCCACUCGGGUUAAUAGCCUAGAGGGUGACGGUACCUCCAGAAGAAGCCCCGGCUAACGUACGUGCCAGCAGCCGCGGU